rnacentral:rRNA from 1 species
GUGUCAGCCGCCGCGGUAAUACGUAGGGACCGAGCGUUGUCCGGAUUUAUUGGGCGUAAAGAGCUCGUAGGCGGCUGUCCAAGUCGGGUGUGAAAACUCGGGGCUCAACUCCGAGCCUGCAUUCGAUACUGGACGGCUAGAGUCUGGUAGGGGGAUCUGGAACUCCUGGUGUAGCGGUGGAAUGCGCAGAUAUCAGGAAGAACACCGGUGGCGAAGGCGGGAUCCUGGGCCAGUACUGACGCUGAGGAGCGAAAGCGUGGGGAGCAAACAGGAUUAGAUACCCUCGUAGUCC